GGCAAAUGCAGUUUUACUUUUUAAUGAAGGACAGGUCUGUUGAUAACAUUUUGAUUCUUAAAAUUUUUUUUAUCUUAUAAAAAUGAAACAAUGCAUUUAAAGUGUCUUCAGCUCUUAUGUUAAUACCAAAUUAUACAUUUUCUUAGCCCAUGUUCAGGAGAGACAAUAUAUCUUCCAAAUUAAGAGAAGCUGGCACCAUUUUUAAAACAAGGCCUUGAAUCUGCUGUGGUAUGUGCUGGUAGGAAUUUUGUAUGAAGCUGUUAUUGAAGUAGAUGACAUUAAGGUCAAAGGAAAAAAAAACAGAAAAUAAUGUAAUCCUACAGAGCUGCUCUUAAGAUCUUGAGAGAAAAACCACAUAGGUAACAUCAAACACUAGUUGGAAUCUUUCCAAGAAGUAAUUAUCUGUGUGCUGUUUGUGGUGGUUGAUUAUGGGAACAAACCAAGGUUUAGCCAAUUCAGCAAACAUUUAUGGAGUGCCUGCAAUGUGCAUGUCACUGUUUUAAGGCCUGUGCCUACUGUAAAGGUGACCCACACAUGAUGCCUGCCUUGCAGGACUUGGAGUUCAGCGAUAAUAAGAGAUGCAUACCUGAAAAGCCUAUUUAAGACUCUUCCGGUUCUACAAAGAAGGCUUCUUGAAAGUGGUAGCUUUGAUUACUCUUUGGAUUUAUUUACAUUUAUCCUAUAAUCAGAAGGUAUACAAAACGGACUCACACAUAUAUAAAAUUAAUAGAUUAGAUAGCAUUUAAACAAAUAUUUCAGGUAGGUACUUCAAAUGCAUUUGACAUUUAUCAAAGAAAUGGUAAGUGCUGUCAUCCGUGGGUGGCUGGAUUAACAUGUGGGACUACUUAUCACCAAUUUUGUUAGGGAUCUUAGGGAAAUUCCUGGAUCUUAUAUUCACAAGCAAUUGUAUAAAUACUUCCCACAGCUCAGAGACCUAAUAGGAUGGGGUCUUAGAGAAACAUCUGUUGAGCCACAGACUUCUUUGUUACCAGAAGGAAAAUGAAAGAAGAAAUUUAAAUACCACUUGAAGAGAGGUAAAUAAAUGAGAAAUGGGGCUGAGAGGGCGGGUAUUUUUUUAAAAAUUCAUUAAAUGGAAAAAUCCGCAAAUGUUAAUUCUGGUAGAUUUCUUAGAAAUUACAUCAGAGGAGCAUGCUUGGUCUUCCCACCCUCAUUAGGCCUCAGUGACAGGUACUUGAACAACUGAGCCCCUAAUGUGCAUGCUCCCCCACCCCUGAAGCCAGUCUCUGCCCUCCUCUUCCCUCCUCUUGCCCCUGGAAGCUGAUCGCCACCAACUGGCCUCUGGGUGGAUUUGGCCAAUGGAAGUACCGGUAGAGGGAAGAGAGUGAGGUUAGGAUAUUUCUUCCUGCUGUCUUCCUGCUUCCCUGCAGAGAGUGUGAAGAAAUGACCCUGAAAAGCCUCUGGCAGAGGAUUCUUCUUUCAGGAUGGUGUCUCCUGCUCAGCAGCCCAUCCUCCUCCCCUGGGCUCAAGCUCUCACUCCAGUAACACUCCUUCCUCCUUCUCCAUCUUCAGGGGGAGGUUUGCCAGUCGGUGCUGCCCAGUUCAUGAGUGCUGCUGCUGUCCUGCCCAAGUACCCAGCUUGCAGAGUGCCGGAGUUAGAGUCCCAGGGGUGUUCUCCACAGCUGCAUGCUUGAUCCAGGCCUAUCAGGUGAGUUGGCUCUUUGCUAGUGGUUUUUCUUCUCUUGCUGUACAAAAGUCCAGACAGUAAUGUCUUUUUUUCAUUUUUAUAGAUAUAUUCCAUUGAAAGUCCUCAUUCUCAAAUUUAAAACAAAGACUUUUUGUGUACCUCAAUAGCAAUGCACACACAGUUGGCUUCACAAACAUAUUGUACAUUCCUUUUUUUCAUAUUUAUUCAACAAAUGUAUAUUGACUACUCACCGUGUGACAGGUGUUAUUUGUUGGCGGAACCAGGCAUCAUCAGCAAACAAAACUGACAAAGCUUCCUGCCCUCUGUGGAAGGCAUCUGAGGAAGAGACUGGAUUUUGUAGCAACAUGUUAUUCUCAUUAUAAACUUUAUCAUUGGAAUACUAAAGCCAAAUCAUCCCCCAUCUCCUUGAUCGGAUACCCACCUAAUCUAGGCAGCUACACAAUUGUGAGAGCCUUUGUUUUUUUCUGCUGAAACAUCCUUAAAAAGAUACCUCACAACCCAAG
rnacentral:lncRNA from 1 species